rnacentral:rRNA from 1 species
UACAGAGGUCCCGAGCGUUGUUCGGAUUCACUGGGCGUAAAGGGUGCGUAGGUGGUGAGGUAAGUCGGAUGUGAAAUCUCCAAGCUUAACUUGGAAAUGGCAUUGGAAACUACCUGGCUAGAGGUUUGGAGGGGGGACUGGAAUGCUUGGUGUAGCAGUGAAAUGCGUAGAUAUCAAGCGGAACACCAGUGGCGAAGGCGAGUCCCUGGACAGUUACCGACGCUGAGGCACGAAGGUCAGGGGAGCAAACGGG